UAAAUGCAUAUAGUUAUUUUAGUGUAUCUAGUUUACUCAAUAGACGAAUAUCACAGCCUUUCUUUAAGUAGUAAUAGUUGUAGUAGUUUAUUAUAGACCAACUUCUUUUCUAUAACCUUGGCCAGUAAUAAAAGUUGGUCCACAUUAAUUUUUCUGCUCGAAAUCUCCUCUGGUAUUCUGCCUCUUUAUAAUUUCCUGAUUUAUUUUCUAUCUUAGAUUUUAAGAUUUUUCUAAACUUUACAUGGUGUCAUUAGUCAUUGCGAUUUGCGAUGAAUCGAUAAUUGUCAUAUUUAUUUCUGUCUCCUUUUUAAAUAUAGUUAAGAGGUAUUUUUUUUCUAUUCAGUUGAUCUUUUUCUUCUGAAACUGCUGUCUUGUGGUGGCCAUACGAAAACGAAACACAGACAUUAGUAGGAACUACGACAGCAUUUUUAAAAUCCCAGCGAUAGGACAAUUUUGAUAAAAGGGGGACACAUUUUUCCGAAAUUUUCGAUUAUUUGACUUUCGACCCUAAGUGAGGGUAAGAAUCACUCCAACAUUUAGGUGGUCAGGAUAAGAAUUAGCCCAACAUUUUUAAUGGUAAUAGUGUAACGGUCACGUUACGAAAUUAGCUCUUUAAUUAUUAUUAUAAUUAUUUUCCCUCGGUCUCUCAUUUAAAUUCUGUAAUUUCUCGUAAAGGACUUCUGACGUGACGUCACACUUCGGUGAUGGAACGUACUAUGUACGCCACCUAUCGAGCAAUAGUAUUUCGUGUUCUGAGGUCGUCCUUGUGACAGUCGGAAAGAAACUCAGCUGAGCUUUCACUUUUAGUUGGGAAUUGUUCAGAGUGGCAUGGGACUAAAUUUCGAUCAAGUACCGGUUAAUACCUAGUUUAAAAAAAGAAAAAAUGUGAAUUCCAUUCCAACCCAUUGAGGAUUAUUUGGGAGAAAUAAUUAUUCUUCCAAUGGGGUUUUCUAUACAACAUCGAGUCUCAUGCCACUCCCUUGAAAACUUAGACCUCCCAGUACCAUCGGAGAGGUAGGACAAUUUCCAACCACAAGUCAUCAUGGGUAGUAAUUUUUGGGAACAAGCUAUUUGGGGGCAUUCCGGCUCCUUUUCAUUCUACACCUGGACCUACAGGAGGUACCAGUUCGUACCGUCCAGGUGCUCAUCUUGGGAUGCAGUAGCGGACUUUUAGGAGUCAUUUGGAUUUGUUUGGGAACAUUUAAGUUUGUGUGGAUUUAAGUAACUUUUGGUUUUUACAUUUUAGACAUUUGAUUUAAUGCACCAUGUUAAUUAAAUUUUUUUCCAGAUUUAGUUUAACUCUGUUUUUUUUUAAUAUGACAUAUUUGUAUAUUAUUGUAUUUGGUUCCCAAACUUUGUAUCUACGGUAACUUCUUGUGCACAGGAAUAAGCCUAGAGAAAAUUAGGUUUUUAAUGCUUUAUUAUUGCUUUGAUAUUGGUUUAUGUAAUUCGGGUAAAUUUAUUUUUUAAUAUUACUAGCUUGUUUCCCAAAUAUUUUACUGUUAUUCGCUUUAUUCCAUUUGUUCGGUUAAUUUAGGUCAUCGUCGGUAUUUAUCUCAACUUCAUUUCUAUUUCAUUCCUUGUAUAUUUAACUUGCGUACUUCAUUAUUGUAUUUUCCCUUAGUGAGGCUUGGGCCUAUUUAUUUGUAGUAUUUUCAUCUUUGUCAGUUUCAUUUAGUUGUACGUAGCAGGCGUACUAUAACCAUUU
rnacentral:lncRNA from 1 species